GUAGGGAAUAUUGGGCAAUGGAUGCAAGUCUGACCCAGCCAUCCCGCGUGCCGGAAGAAGGCCCUCAGGGUUGUAAACGGCUUUUGACGGUGAAGAAUCGACAGGAUGCGUCCUGUUUUGACGGUAGCCGUUGAAUAAGCACCGGCUGACUCCGUGCCAGCAGCCGCGGUAAUACGGAGGGUGCGAGCGUUGUCCGGAUUUAUUGGGUUUAAAGUGUGCGUAGGCUGGAAGGUCAGUCAGCGGUGAAAAGCUGUCGCUUAACGAUAGUCUUGCCGCAGAUACUUCCUUUCUUGGAUGAGGAGGAGGCCACUGGAACGGAUGGUGUAGCGGUGAAAUGCAUAGAUAUCAUCCAGAACACCGAUUGCGAAGGCAGGUGGCUGUACCUUAAUCGACGCUGAUGCACGAAAGCAUGGGGAGCAAACAGGAUUAGAAACCCCUGUAGUCC
rnacentral:rRNA from 1 species